rnacentral:rRNA from 1 species
UACAGAGGGGGCAAGCGUUAUUCGGAAUUAUUGGGCGUAAAGGGCGCGUAGGCGGCUUGGCAAGUGGAAGGUGAAAUCCCUCGGCUUAACCGAGGAACUGCCCUCCAAACUGCUUUGCUUGAGGCCGGGAGAGGUGAGUGGAAUUCCCAGUGUAGCGGUGAAAUGCGUAGAUAUUGGGAGGAACACCAGUGGCGAAGGCGGCUCACUGGACCGGUUCUGACGCUGAGGCGCGAAAGCUAGGGGAGCAAACAGG